GUUUCUGUAGUGUAGUGGUUAUCACGUUCGCCUCACACGCGAAAGGUCCCCGGUUCGAAACCGGGCAGAGAACA